AUGAUAAUAAUUUGAGUAUUUUUAAUAAAAAUAUAAAUAAUGAUCUAAAUAUUACAAAUUAUGAAUCAAACGAAUUUUAAAAAUUUUUACCAGAAUAAUGAGGAGCUUUUCUAGAAUACUAUCGGUAGUAAACGGCUCCGAUUUGUUUUUGAUGAUAGACUUUCCAAAUUAACGAUUAAUAUUGUUAAAUUAGAUUUAAACUAUUUAAACUAUCUGAAAAUCAAAUUUUACGCUUUCUCGAUAUUGUUCUCUUGUCCAUUAAGUGAACAAAAAAUGAAUGGCUAAAAAUAACUAUCCUUCGAAAAGUGAUGAUAUAAUUUUUAUAUUUAAGAUCUAUAGUCUAGAUUUGAAAAAAAAAAUUUAAUUAAUUUGGACUCUUUUAUACCGUUAAAUGAGUAAACGCAUCAUAUUGACCAUUAAAAUUACAGAUUUAGCGAUUAUUUGAUUGUUCGGUUAGUGAUGUCAAAAGAAUAAUAAAAUUUAAAUUUUAGAUAAUUUAAAUAUAUCGAUCGUCGAUUUGAAAGAUUUAUUAUCAAAAAUAAAUUAAUAAUAAAUGGAAUCAUUUACUAUCGAUAGUAUA
rnacentral:lncRNA from 1 species